AAAUAACAUUCGUGAAUUUUCGCGGAUUUGAGUUUUCCAGUAUUUAUUAUUAUAAUAAAUGUUGGUAACUUUAAAAUUAUUUAUUACUUGGUACAAGUUGAAAACGUGCUAUAUAUGUGGUUCGCUGACAACUUGUCCAUCUUAUAUAUUAUGCGCGCGCUUAGUAUUACACUUUGUGCAAGUAUAUAUUUUU
rnacentral:misc_RNA from 1 species